AAGAAUCCGUGCCGAUUAGAUUGGAUCCAAUUCGUAACAAGGUAACCGGUAGGUGAACCUGCCGGUGGAUCCAAUAUCGGAAAUGUAUGGGUUUUAAUAUCAUAGUGAGGAAAAUCAUGCUUCGAGGGAUCGAUUGGCAUUGAGGACGAUGAAGAACGCAGCAGCGUGUGAUAAGAGAUGAGAAUUGGCGGCCUCAAGUCUGUGUUCCAAUGGUAGACGAAGUCUACGAUAACCCCUUGGACUUAAGCAUAUCAUUAGAGGGAGGAAAAGAAAACAACAGUGAUUCCGGCAGUAGCGGCGAGCGAAGUUGGAGUAGCCCCAAUGGUAAUGGCGCAAGCCAGUUGUAAGGGGAAGCGGGAAAUGCUCUGAAACGAGUAUCCAUAGAGGGUGAUAGACCUUAUUGCACUCCCGUCAUGACGAGUAGCACUGUUUGGUAGUGCAGUGUGAAAGGGUGGUUGUAAGCACCUAAGGCUAAAUACAAUCAAUGUACCGAUAGCGAAUAAGUACUGUAAAGGAAGCUAUCUGCUGUAGUGGCAGAGAGUGAAAUCGAGCAUGCGGAAGGCAACAUGUUGCACCCGUCUUGAAACACGGACC
rnacentral:rRNA from 1 species